CUUAAAUUCCUACAAAUGUGGGGAUUUCUGAGUUGAGAAACAGAAAGAAGUCCUCACCUAAGCAUGGCCAAUAGUGAGUUUUAGAUUUCUGGCAUGUCUCAAACGGGGUUGUGGGUCAAUCUAGAAAGGCUGUGUGCAAAUCUAGAAAAAUGAUGUCAAGGUAUUUAAUGAGGAAGAUGCUCCUCACCUGAUAGGAGUUGGACUGUAUACUACUUUACUUCUUUUCCUUUUCUUUCUUUUUUUUUUGUAAAGAAGUACUCGAUCUCUUUAUUGUAUAAGGAAUAACAAUCAGGUGGCUUAGGAAAUAAAUCUAUGGGAUAUUGGGCUGAAGGAGGAAAUUAGGAAAACAUGAUCACGGACCCUAACGUCGCUUCUCCUCUAACAACUGUGAUUUCUUUAUGGAAAACUAGAGAUUUUGCAGAGAGAUUUGCCAAGCGAGGUCCGGAAGCAAAUCCAGCCCUGGACAUGGUGACAAGACACCACCAAGGGCUCCUGAUAUUUGCCCUUCAUCCAGUGUGUGAAAGAAUCCUUUCUGAGAUCGCUAGAUUUUAGUCACUGCAGAUCAACCUAACUACGUAGUCCCUGUGAGGCCAUCACUAGGCAUAGCGACUGAUGAGAAUGGAUGUCCCGCUUGCCAUCUGAGCCCCCAAGUUAACUGAUGGUGUGGACAGUUGCGAUGGUGCUGCUUGGGAUCGAACUCGGGACCUUGCACUUUUGAGGCAGGUGGUGGCACCACUGAGUGAUGUUCCUGCCUUGGACCCAUGGAUUCACUCCAUCUUUGUCAUUCUAUCUCUGGUGGACAUUGAACUUUAUAAAAUGUGAUAAAAAGUACUUUUAGUCUUGGAAGGAGCAAACUGGACUGUCUGAAAAACAACUUUUUAAGUGAAAACGGGAACUUUUGGUGGAGAUCCACUGUUUCCAAAACCUUGAAGGAACAAAGGUUGCCACUCGCCAGCACCUGGGGAGUCAAUAUGCGUCUAUCAGCUCUUGACUUUGGGCCCAGUGCACCUUCUUGAUCCUGAUUACUGCAGACACCUUCUGAUUCAUCUUCCACAAACCGAGUAUUCGCAGCCCAACUGUUCAGAUGAACCUUAAAUUUCGCCAUGGAUUGGAUCCCCUGUGAACAUGAACCAAAGUAAGCCUGUCUUUGUCAUCCCAGCCACAGAAAGGUGACCAAUACAAAGAAAGAGAAGCAAAGGAAAUUAACCACGAAUGGGUAGAAAGUCUAGCAGUGACCACCCACUGCAAAGAUAAGUAUCAUCCUGCAAAAGGCUCAGAGUUGUUUCAACCUGAGAAGGAGGUUUGGACAUCCCUCACCUGUCAUCCAGAGCCCAAGGGAAGGAACAUACAAAGGCUUGGUCACCUCUGCCUCACCGUGCUUACAUCAGAGAGCUGACAGCAUCCUUCUGCAGAAGCAUAACACAUGUAAGCUACCAAAGAUGAAGACAGACCGAGGCCAGAGUGAGGGUCCAGAAAUGGUUUAAAAAGGCUCCAGGUAUAAUACUGACAUUUUCUUCUAGUAAAGGGAUUGAACUCGGGACCUUGUGCUUGCAAGGCAGGAGGCAGAACAAUUGAGAUAAAUCCCCCGCAGCAUCUUCUUUUUUUUCUUCUUUUGGCCAUGGGACUCCCUCUGCAAUCGACAAGCUGUGUGCUUGGAAAAGAUUUAGAACAAAGACGGUUUUGACUUGUGAGCUUUGCCCACACACAGAGCACAAAAACUGGAAGCUUACACAUUAUCUCUCAUUGGCUGGCUUCAGAGGACAUGAGAUGGUUAAAAAUACUUAAAAAGGAAAUGAAGAAAUCAUGGCAUUUUGUUCACGGUUGUGUGGUUUCCCCGUUGGCUUGGGGAAAGGAGGACAAACAAGUAUUUUCCAGCUAACCCCAGCCACGGCCAGCAAUCUGGUGUUCACCGAAAGAGCAGA
rnacentral:lncRNA from 1 species